rnacentral:rRNA from 1 species
UGAGGAAUAUUGGUCAAUGGACGCAAGUCUGAACCAGCCAAGUAGCGUGCAGGAUGACGGCCCUAUGGGUUGUAAACUGCUUUUAUAUGGGGAUAAAGUGGGGAACGUGUUCCCUUUUGCAGGUACCAUAUGAAUAAGGACCGGCUAAUUCCGUGCCAGCAGCCGCGGUAAUACGGAAGGUUCGGGCGUUAUCCGGAUUUAUUGGGUUUAAAGGGCAUCUAGGCGGUAAGGGAAGUCAGGGGUGAAAAGCUAUAGCUCAACUAUGGUCUUGCCUUUGAAACUCUCUAGCUAGAGUGUACUGGGGGUACGUGGAACGUGUGGUGUAGCGGUGAAAUGCAUAGAUAUCACACAGAACUCCGAUUGCGCAGGCAGCGUACUACAUUACAACUGACACUGAAGCACGAAAGCGUGGGUAUCAAACAGG